rnacentral:rRNA from 1 species
AUUGAACGCUGGCUGCAGGCCUAACACAGGCAAGUCGAGCGGGGGAAGUUUUUGUGUUUCUCGUAUCAGCGGCGGACUGAUGAUCAAUGCCUAACUAUUUGCCUACUCGUGAGGUUUAACGUUCCGAAACGGUCGCUAAUACCACAUACGUCCUGAGCAGGGGAGUGGGAGAGCUUCGGACCGCACGCUAGCAGAUUAUCCUAGGUCGGAUUAGCUAUUUGGUGGGGUAAAGGCCUACCAAGGCGACGAUCCGGAACUGGUCUGCGAGGAUGAUCAGUCACACUGGAACUGAGACACGGUCCAGACUCCUACGGGAGGCAGCAGUGGGGAAUAUUGGACAAUGGGCGAACGCCUGAUCCAGACGUGCCGCGUGUGUGCAGAAGGUCUUCGGAUUGUAGAGUACUUUAAGUUGGGAGGAAGGGCAGUAAGUUAAUACCUUGCUGUUUUGACGUUACCGAAAGAAUAAGCACCGGCUAACUUCGUG